GGGAGGAGAGCCGCUGGAGGCUGCAGGGGAUAAAGGGAAAGUGCCAGGAGGGACUUCACAGCCAGCAGCGACAGUGACAGCGGUUGUUCAGUCUUCCCAGACACUCUCAGCCCGAGGCAGGAGAGAUGAGGCAUCUGGAGCCCAGAGACGCUGCCAGGAGGGUCCAAGCUGAGGCCAAGAGCUCAUAUUUUACCACUGGUGUUAUAAAGAAUGGAGAGGCAGGACGUGGCUGUGCACACCUAUAAUCCCAGCAGUCUGGAGUUUGAGACAGGAGGAUCCUAUGGGCAGUUUCUAAACACUUCUUUGCAGACUAUGGUUUAACACACCCUCUGCAGGGGAUUAAAUAAGUAGUUCAUGGAUGCCCAGUGGAGUUUUCCAGUGAUGUCCAGGGGCUGAACAGAGGGGCAGAUGUGAGGAGUCAGCUGCCUGCUAAUAAACCGCGCAUCCAAGAAUCCACGACUGUGUGAGACAGUGCUGCCUUUCUCACUAAACCUUUUGGGAAAAUAUGGUUGUUCUGAAUAAAAAUGUUUAACAUGCAGUGAGUUUAUUGCUCUUUUAAGAUUAAUAAAUUUAAAUGGUUUCUUCUUUUAAAUGUCUCAUAUGCCUGUGGAUGCACUGCACCUGACCAAAGCUUUCAGGGUCUUUCAGCACUAGGCAUUCCUGAGGGCAAACAGGCACAGGACUGAGUGUCUGCAAAACUCUUGUGUUGUCUAAACCUAAAACUGUGUAAUGUGUGUCCAAAGUGUCUUCUGAUGAAACUCCUCCCUCCCUGGGAAGCCCAUUAUGGCAACAGAAUUGUACAAGAAAACAUUUGAGCCAGCCACCAUGAUAUUCACCUAUAAUCCCAGUGCUCUGGGAGACUGACGCAGGAGGAUCAUAUAGUCAAACCCAGCCUGAGGAAUUUGGUGCCUUAGUGAGCCCAUCUCAAAAAAGAAGAAGAAGCAGAAGCAGAAGUAGAACAAGAAGAAGAAAAAGAAGAAGAAGGAGGAGGAGGAGGAGGAGAAGGAGGAGGAGGAGGAGGAAGAGGAAGAAGAAGGAGAAGGAGAAAGAGGAGGAGGAAGAGGAGGAGGAGGAAGAGGAGGAGUUGGGGCAUAGCACAGUGCAAGACUCUGGUUCAGUCUGGGGAGUCUGAAAAAUAAGAGUUUAUAUAUUGGUGAGCCUGGCUGGUUAGUGCAUAGUGCAUUGUUAAUCAGUCAACAAAGAGUUUUUAAAUUAAUCACUAAACACUUUAACAGCAGGCCAUCCCUGGUUGAAGCUUGGAGUAGGACUUCAAGACACGUGGAGGUUAUUAGAGUGGAACCGGAUCCUGCAAAAGGCUGUCAUGGUGGCUGUGAUUCUCGAGUUUGGCUCCCAGAACUGAGAUGUUGGCAACUUCAUCCCCAGAGUCACACACUGACGGCUUUUGGAGAUGAGAUCUUUGAGAAGCCAUUCCCUAGGGGACAGGUGAGCCCGUUUGUGACUUAUGGGUUAAUGCAUUCUCUUAGGAGUGAGUCUGUUGUUAAGGCCAGUUUGGCUACUGUUCCCCCUCCUGCUUCCUUCCUCUUUCUAGCAGAAGGUUUCAUUUUACAGCUACCCUGCUUUAGUAACAACAGCGAUUCCCAGGAAGCCAACUGUGCAUGCCAGUACAGAGGGAAACCAGGCAAAGCCAGUGAAUCUCGUUCCCUGAGCUCUGCACCUUGCAUGGUGGCUCUCUUGUCCUGAGGGGAUGAUAGGUGUGUGCUGGAUCUGUGAAUGAGUGAGCUAAGGAUACAACUGCAGAUACCUUCUUCGCACCUCAGCUUUCCAGCAUUGCACAGAGAUGCUAGAAUGAAUGAAGAGAAGCUGAAGGAUGAACAUUUCAGGGGAGGAGGAACGUAAGCAAAGAGAGGAAUCAGUGGCCAUGCACUGUGACCACAAAAUGGCUCCUCCUCUCACACCCUGCUGUCCCAGUGUGGUGCCCUGGGUCUCCCUGGCACUCUCUGCAGAGAGGUGUGUCUCACAGAAGGAAGGUCCUCCAACGACACAGCCCUGGACUCUGAACCCGUGGGCCUUUAGACCCAGGUGCAAAAUAACUUUCAUGCUUUAGAAAUUACUCAGUUUUUAGCGCCUGCCUUGCAAGCAGGCAGUUGUGAGUUUGAUCCCUGGUGCCGAUAAAAAGGAAAAAGACAAAAAAAAAAAAAAAAAAAAAAAAAGAAAUUACUCAGUUUUUGAUAUUCAGGUAUAGCCAAGGAAACAAAGGUGCAGGUGUUGACUCCUACAGCACAAGUCUGGGUUUCAAGACAGUUUUUCUGAUGACCGACUGUCACUACUCGGGUGGUGAACUCCAUGGCCCAUUUGCAGGUACCUGAGUUCUGCUUCCAGUGUUUGGCUCAAUGAUUACUACAUCUCUUCAAGCUUUAGUCUCUCCAUCUGUCAAAUACGGAGACCUGUUGUAAGCACUGCCUAUAAAGGCUUAUCUGAGAUUUGCAGCCUGAGACAAAGCUCUGGAUGGUUUUGCAGUGAGGACUCUGCUGUCAUGCCCUGGAAGGACAUGAUGACGCCAGUCUCUCAACUUAGGAAAGAUGCGUGCAGUUUCCAAGCAUUUUCAAUGUGGCAGAUACACUCAACUUUGCUUCUCACCCCCAAUUCAGUUGGUGUGUGAUCAGCUUCAUCCACUGUGCAGAGGGAGAGAUUAUAGUAUCUCUUGCAGGAAGUGGUGAACCUUCCAUGACAGAUCCCAUGCAAAUUGUCCAAGUUUACUCUGUGAAAUCACUGUGUGCUGUUAUUUUAUGAUCAUUUGCAAUAUUCCCAGCAAGCACUGUUUCAGAAAUUUCCACCUGCUGAGAGUUUUUUAAAAUUUUUAAUUGAUCUUGGUUCAUUCAUUGCAUCUUGCAUGUAUUUUUCCCACUUGACAAUUAAAAAUAUCUGACUUCAGCCAGAGAUGGUGGCAUGUGCAUAUGAUCUGGAAGGCUGAUGCAGGAGGAUCACAAGUUCAAGCCCAGCCUGAAAAACUUAGCAAGACUCUGUCUCAAAAAAAAAAAAAAAAAAAAAAAAAGAAAGAAAAGAAAAGAAAGAGAGAGAGAAGCUGGAAAUGUUGCUCAGUGUGUGAAAGUCCUGGGUUUAAUCCCCAGUACUGAAAGAAAAACAAAAUGCUUUCCAGUUCCAGCCCUCCCUUGUUCCCACACAGCCACAGUCCUUGAGGAGCUGGAAUAAAGUACAUACGGCAUGUAA